rnacentral:lncRNA from 1 species
AUAGAGUGCAGCUUGCUGAAUAAUCUCUAGCACUUGUUUUGACAGUAAGCAGCGUGGCGGAUCAGUACAGAAAAGACGAAGCCACAGAUGGGCAGUGAGUCCUUUAGGCACAGAGACAAACACAUUGUACACCCACUGGCUGCACACAGGUGCAAAUACCUAUUGUAAUGAAUUUGUGGACCUUAUGUGAAGCAAUGAAGUUUCAGUUGAGUCCAUUUCUCUCUGUUGCUGAAGGCUAGCUCUGAUAUAAAGACUCAAAGGAAGCAAUAAGGAAUAUAUAUUGCUCACGGGAAAGGAAGGCACUACAAUUGACAUCUCACCUUAGCCACAUCCACAUGCAGGAGCUGCAUCGUGCUGCCUCUCUUGGACCCUGUUAAAGAUCUCUGCUGUGAAAGUAGCAUAUAGAAAAUAAAUCCACUUUUUUGGAUAGUUUCA